rnacentral:rRNA from 1 species
GAUGAACGCUGGCGGCGUGCUUAACACAUGCAAGUCGAACGGACAGGCUACUGCUUGCCGGGCUACACCAGUGGCGAACGGGUGAGUAACACGUGGGUACGCUGCCCUGCACUUCGGGAUAAGCCUGGGAAACUGGGUCUAAUACCGGCUAGGACCGCAUAAUGUUUGUUGUUGUGUAAAAUUUGUCGGUAUGGGGUGAGCUCGCGGCCUCUCAGCUGGUUGGUGAGGUAAUAGCCUACAGGUGAGUUGACGGGUAGCCGCCCUGAGAGGGUGUACGGCCACAUUGUGCCUGGGGUACGGCCCAGACUCCUACGUGGGGCAUCAGUGGGGAAUAGUGCACGAUACGCGCAAUCCGGAUGCAGCGACGCCGGGUCGGGGAGGUCGGUUUUAGGGGUGGAAACGGCUUGCGCGAGGGACGAAGCGCAAGUGACGGUACCUGGAGAAGAAGCACCGGCUAACUACGUG